rnacentral:rRNA from 1 species
GACGGAGGGUGCUAGCGUUGUUCGGAAUUACUGGGCGUAAAGGGCGCGUAGGCGGCUACGGCAGUCGGGUGUGAAAGCCCGGGGCUCAACCCCGGAACGGCACCCGAUACUCUGUGGCUCGAGACCGGGAGGGGAGGGUGGAAUACCCAGUGUAGAGGUGAAAUUCGUAGAUAUUGGGUGGAACACCGGUGGCGAAAGCGGCUCUCUGGCCCGGUUCUGACGCUGAGGCGCGAAAGCGUGGGGAGCAAACAGG